AUCAGCCCCUGCUGAAGCACAGUAAAGCCCUACCAAGAAAGCUAUGGCUAUGAUGGGGAGAAGAGCAGCAGCAGCUCCUAAAGUAAGAGACAUUGGUCAGCACCCUCAGACAUCAGACCUUCACAUCUCAGGCAGAGGAAAGAACACACAUAUGACAGCUGGAAGAGAAACCAAAGCGCUUUGCCUCACAAAAGAAAAUACAAAUGAGCAAUCUGAGUGCCAUCAAACCUGCUGUGAGAGAGAAAGAGAGAGAGAGAGGAACAGGUGGCAGAAGGAAUUGGAAGGAGCUUUGCCUCCCCAUGGUAAAAGAUGGCAUCUACAUGCUCAAGCCUUUUAAGAGGAACAUCUAACUUGGAGG
rnacentral:lncRNA from 1 species